CGAGAGAGUUUGAUCCUGGCUCAGAUUGAACGCUGGCGGCAUGCCUAACACAUGCAAGUCGAACGGUAGCAGGCCUUCGGGUGCUGACGAGUGGCGGACGGGUGAGUAAUGCGUAGGAAUCUGUCUUUUAGUGGGGGACAACCCAGGGAAACUUGGGCUAAUACCGCAUGAGCCCUGAGGGGGAAAGCGGGGGAUCUUCGGACCUCGCGCUAAGAGAAGAGCCUACGUCUGAUUAGCUAGUUGGUAGGGUAAAGGCCUACCAAGGCGACGAUCAGUAGCUGGUCUGAGAGGACGACCAGCCACACUGGGACUGAGACACGGCCCAGACUCCUACGGGAGGCAGCAGUGGGGAAUUUUUCGCAAUGGGGGCAACCCUGACGAAGCAAUGCCGCG
rnacentral:rRNA from 1 species